rnacentral:rRNA from 1 species
AUUGAACGCUGGCGGCAGGCCUAACACAUGCAAGUCGAACGAGUGGCGGACGGGUGAGUAAUGUCUGGGAACCUGCCCGAUGGAGGGGGAUAACUACUGGAAACGGUAGCUAAUACCUCAUACCAUCGGAUGUGCCCAGAUGGGAUUAGCUAGGUGGUGGGGUAAUGGCGCACCAAGGCGACGAUCCCUAGCUGGUCUGAGAGGAUGACCAGCAAAACUGGAACGGAGACACGGUCCAGACGCCGACGGGAGGCAGCAGUGGGGAAUGUUGCGCAAUGGGCGCAAGCCUGAUGCAGCCAUGCCGCGUGAAUGAAGAAGGCCUUCGGGUUGUAAAGUUCUUUCGGCAAGGAGGCGUUACUCGCAGAAGAAGCACCGGCUAACUCCGUGCCAGCAGCCGCGGUAAUAC